rnacentral:rRNA from 1 species
CCCUUAGACGUUCUGGGCCGCACGCGCGCUACACUGACCAGUGCAACAAGCAUCCGUCCUUGGCCGACAGGCCCGGGCAAUCUUUGAACGCUGGUCGUGAUGGGGAUAGACUUUUGCAAUUUUUGGUCUUCAACGAGGAAUUCCUAGUAAACGCAAGUCAUCAACUUGCAUUGAUUACGUCCCUGCCCUUUGUACACACCGCCCGUCGCACCUACCGAUUGAAUGGUCCGGUGAAGCCUCCGGAUUGACGCGCACCUCGGUGCCGCCGAGAAGUUGGCUAAACCUUACCAUUUAGAGGAAGGUGAAGUCGUAACA